UCCCCAAAACAAGCACAGUAGCCUGCACAGU
rnacentral:piRNA from 1 species